UUCCUCUUUAAAAACUUGUUCACAAAUGAAUUCAACUCAGCAGCCAUGACAGCUCAAAGGCUCGGCAUCGUCCUGCGGUACACCGUGUUCCAUGAAUGAGGAUCACUGGUUGCCUGGCCACCUAAAACACUGGCAUCUGAGAGAGCUCUGCUCUUUGUCAGAGGACACCAUUCCAGUCCUGAGAGCUCUCAGCCAUGCCGUCUCAGACUCCUCACUGUAUCAGGGGCGUUAGCUGAUAGCGACCCCCUUCAACCAUGCCUCCAGCAUUCCACUGAGAGAGGUGGCGUCUGGUGGCGUCUGGUGGCCCGCUCCCACAGACCAGCAGUGGCCCAAUCAGAAUGUCUGCAUUUGCUGAGGGAGCCUUUCGGAGACAGAAAGAUAGAGGGGUUAAACUAUCUGACAGAAAGAUAGAGAGAGAGGUUAAACUAUCUGAGACAGAAAGAGAGAGAGAGGGGUUAAACUAUCUGAGACAGAAAGAGAGAGAGAGGGGUUAAACUAUCUGAGACAGAAAGAGAGAGAGAGGGGUUAAACUAUCUGAGACAGAAAGAGAGAGAGAGAGGUUAAACUAUGAGACAGAAAGAGAGAGAGAGGGGUUAAACUAUCUGAGACAGAAAGAGAGAGAGAGAGGGGUUAAACUAUGAGACACAAAGA
ensembl:lncRNA